rnacentral:rRNA from 1 species
UAGGCGUAAAUGAUGCGAGUUAAGUGUGGGGGCAUCUACGAGAUGGCCCUGUGCUGUAGGGUAGCCGUUAAACUCGCUGCCUGGGAGUACGGUCGCAAGGCUGAAACUUAAAGGAAUUGGCGGGGGAGCACCACAAGAGGUGGAGGCUGCGGUUCAAUUGGAUUCAACGCCGGACAUCUCACCGGAUAAGACAGCUGAAUGAUUGUCAAUCUGAAGGUUUUACAUGACUAGCUGAGAGGUGGUGCAUGGCGUCAGUGACU